UGGGACCUUGGAGGAAGCUACCAUGCAAUUUCCUCUGAGCCACAGAGGUACGUAAGCUUUAUUGAAAUGUCUCUUUUCAUCCACCGUCUCCCUACUCCCUCUUGGCUGCAGUUUCAUCGCAACUUCAUCCUCAAUAACCCAAUCCCCUUCUUCUUCUUCGCCAUCAUCAUCACCCGCAUCCUCUAUCUCAAUCGCUUUCAUAUAUAAAUUACACCGAUUCUUACAGCUUCCAACACGCCCUCCUUCUCGCCAAACAUGGCGUCCGCCAAGUGGUUCUCCAACACAAGUCUCCGCCUCAGUCUCGGUCGCUCCAAGUCAAAGCCGGCCAGAUCAAGAUCAUCCAACUCCUUAACCUCUCCCACGUCAUCAUCAUCUUCUACCCCAAAGCCCGUCACCAGAGAGGAUGAACUGAGGGAGGUGUUCCGGCGUUUUGACGGUAACGGAGACGGCAAAAUAUCGGCCCUUGAACUCAGGUCGUAUUUCGGGUCCAUUGGGGAGUACUUGUCCCACGAAGAGGCCGAAGGGGUGAUCCGCGACCUUGAUUCAGACGGGGACAGUCUUCUGGACAUGGAAGAUUUCAUGAAGCUGAUGAAGAAGGAAGAAGGCGAUGAGGAUCUGAAGAAGGCGUUCGAGAUGUUUGAGUGGGAAAAGGGGUCGGGAUGCAUAACCCCGAAAAGCUUGCAGAGGAUGCUGCAUCGUCUGGGAGACGACAAAUCGUACGACGAGUGCGAGGCAAUGAUACACGCCUUCGACGUGGAUCGCAACGGAGUCCUGGAUUUCAGUCCACUCUUAGAACUGAAGCAAAGUGGCGACUGAAAAGAGGACACACAUUAUAAAGCAACCCUGCCAUCCCUUUCAGCUCUGCUCCUUGGUUCCUCCUCCGACCUCGCCACUUUGCUCCUCGAUUCCUCCCGCUUUGCUCCUCGGUUCCUCCUCUAGCGACAUCAUUGUGGGCCUCCUGUUCCUCUUCUAGCGACAGUGUUCUCUAGCUAAAGGUACUGCUUCACCUUAAUCAUUGUCUUCUCCUCGAAAACACAUAGAAACAAGUUGGAAGCUUAGGUUAAUGAAUCUCGUUUGAAAGUAGAUUCCCUUCAUUAGCUUUUUCUACAAGCUUUAAAUGUAACCAACCUGCCAGAUAGAGGAAACAUAACUUCAACUCAUAAGUUGCAGCUGAAAUCAUGACUUUAUCAAACAUAUAUAAUCUCUUCGUUUCUGUCUCAAAGAUUUCUAGCAUGUGAUAUUUUGAUGAAUAUAAAGAUUCUUGCUUUCUUGUUUAUUUUGUUUUGUAAAUAAAGUGAAACUAACAUUCAAACAUAAGUGCUUAACUCUUGAGUUUGAUAUUCAGUUGCUUUUCUCUCUUCAUUGUCUAUAUUGUGUACAUGUAUUGGUGUAUUCUUUUAUUGCUUGCUCUUUGUUCCUUACUCUACUAGUAGACUAUUUUCUAUAACUUCUGAGCUUAUGUGCUACUUUUAAUUUAGAGAUUAUAUCAUUGGGAGGAAAAUGAAACAAAGAUAAUAAGAUAUGCCUUUGAGGCCAUUGGCUCUAGACGACUUAGUGAUAUUCUUGGUAAAGAAAGGAAAAAGCAUAGGGAAAAUGAAAAUUAUGUUCCCAAUUGGAUAAGUGGAGCUCACUGAAAUGAACUUGUGCGGUAUUGGAAUACCCUAAAAUCCAAAAAGAUUUCAACAAUCAAUUCAAACAAUAGAUUGGCAAAUCCAUCUCUUCAUACAGGAGGAUCUAUUCCCACACAUUUACAUGCUGCAAAAUUGGUAAGUUCUAAUUUAUAUAGCUGUAAAAUCUGUUUCUUUGCAUUAUUAAUGAUUUGAUGCUAAUUAUAUAACAAUGAUUAUUACAUUUAUAGGAAAAAAGCACCGGAAAGAGAGUGAUGUUUCCCAAUUAUAUGUGACUACACAUAAGAAAAAGAAAGACAAUCAAUGGGUUGAUGAGAAAUCAAAAAACACCUAUGUGACAUUCAAAAAAAAUAUUCAGCAAGCUGCUGGAAUUUCUGAAGAGAUUAUUGAGGAGCAAGAUGGACAACAACGAAAUAGUGAUGCUGCUGUAGAACUUGAAAAUGAACGUGCAGGAGAACAGCCAACCCAACAAGUUGCAGACGAUGACUUUCUUCAAACUCAAGCCUCUCUCCCUUCAGAAGAAGUAGCUCAAGCAUGGUUGAAGGCUAUCGGGGGGACAAAAAAAGUGGUAGAGUUUAUGGAUUAGGAUUACAUGCUGCUGUAGUAUGUGGCUUUGCUGGCAACUCUGUAUUCCACAUUAACAAUGCUCCAUCUCCUGCUGCUCCCCAUUCUACAACUGUAGAUAAUGUUGUUCAAACGCCUGCAUUUGAAGAAGCUGUUAACCGUGCUGUAGAGGAAAGGGUACAACGUGUUCUUGAAGAAAAGAUGAACUAAGCAUUAGAUCAAAGAUUGUCAAUAUGAGACUUUCAAUACGGCAAGACAUAUUUAGAGUUAUUCGAACUCUAGGUGAAAGGGUCUUAACUCCACAGCAAAAUGCCAAUAGCUCUAAUUCCUCUAGGCAACAAGAUUCUAAUCAUGAUUGUGGAAAAUAACUUAUGUAUGAAGUGUUUUGAACUUGCUGUGUACUUUUUUUAUAUUUUGCAUAACUCUUUAUGUAUGAAUUAGCUUGAACUUUAUGACUAUAAUUGAUAUAGUAUCACAUUUUUGUUA